rnacentral:rRNA from 1 species
GACGAACCGUGCAAACGUUGUUCGGAAUCACUGGGCUUAAAGGGCGCGUAGGCGGGCAAGCAAGUCCGGGGUGAAAUCUUUCGGCUCAACCGGAAAAGUGCCUUGGAUACUGCUUGUCUGGAGGGAGGUAGGGGCAUGUGGAACUUCUGGUGGAGCGGUGAAAUGCGUUGAUAUCAGAAGGAACGCCGGUGGCGAAAGCGACGUGCUGGACCUCUUCUGACGCUGGAGGCGCGAAAGCUAGGGGGAGCAAACGGGG